rnacentral:lncRNA from 1 species
AGAAGGAGCUGGAGGCCCCGGGAGUGCAGACGGCAUUUCAGUGCUCACAGGAGAGCGUCCGUAGAUGGCGAGGACAGAGAAGGGGUUACCAGGGCUUCCAAAACCGCGAGAAAUAAAUGUCUGUGUCUAAACCCCAACCCUACCACCUCAACUGCCGUGUGUGGUGUUUUGUGAUGGCAGCCCCAGCUGACUGAGACACCUGGUUAGACCGGAAUAAGCAGGCUGCAAUCGGUAGCAGUCACCAUUGAACAUCCUUGAAGCAAUUCUUCCAAAAUUACCUUGCAUCAAAGACUGCACAAGAACUGCUCUAAGCGGAAGGACUGAUGUCGGCAACCAGGGUUCCACCAGGGGCUGCAGACAGCCCUUGACCUUCAGAAGUAACCAAAUUUACUCACGUAGGCCAGGAAUUUCUAUGACGUGUUCCAAAUUCAGCCUCUCACUGAACACUUCCAGAGCAAGGCAACAUAAACAUCUGCAAGAAGAACAUUGUGUGAGAAAUAUCAAGUGAGAGUGGAAGAGUCUGCGGAGGGCCUCCCUGGGGCUCACCUGUGCUUUUGCCUGAGCUUCACCGUGUCAAGGAUGCAGCACUUUUUCCCUCUGGAGGAAGCAGCUUUCACCUUGGAAGAAUCUUGACCUUGCCAUUCAAAGUCACCAGACAGGGAAUCUGCCAGUGCCUUGAUCUUAGACUUCCCAGCUUCUGUAACUGUGAGCAAUAAAUGUAUGCUGCUUAUAAACUA